UACGUAGGUGGCAAGCGUUGUCCGGAUUUACUGGGCGUAAAGAGCGCGCAGGCGGUCGUGCAAGUCGCGUGUGAAAGCCCCCGGCUCAACUGGGGAGGGUCACGCGAUACUGCUCGACUUGAAGGCAGGAGAGGGAAGUGGAAUUCCCGGUGUAGUGGUGAAAUGCGUAGAUAUCGGGAGAACACCAGUGGCGAAGGCGACUUCCUGGCCUGUUCUUGACGCUGAGGCGCGAAAGCUAGGGUAGCAAACGGG
rnacentral:rRNA from 1 species